rnacentral:rRNA from 1 species
GAUGAACGCUGGCGGCGUGCCUAAUACAUGCAAGUCGAACGCUUUGUGGUUCAACUGAUUUGAAGAGCUUGCUCAGAUAUGACGAUGGACAUUGCAAAGAGUGGCGAACGGGUGAGUAACACGUGGGAAACCUACCUCUUAGCAGGGGAUAACAUUUGGAAACAGAUGCUAAUACCGUAUAACAAUGACAACCGCAUGGUUGUUAUUUAAAAGAUGGUUCUGCUAUCACUAAGAGAUGGUCCCGCGGUGCAUUAGCUAGUUGGUAAGGUAAUGGCUUACCAAGGCGAUGAUGCAUAGCCGAGUUGAGAGACUGAUCGGCCACAAUGGGACUGAGACACGGCCCAUACUCCUACGGGAGGCAGCAGUAGGGAAUCUUCCACAAUGGGCGAAAGCCUGAUGGAGCAACGCCGCGUGUGUGAUGAAGGGUUUCGGCUCGUAAAACACUGUUGUAAGAGAAGAAUGACAUUGAGAGUAACUGUUCAAUGUGUGACGGUAUCUUACCAGAAAGGAACGGCUAAAUACGUGCCAGCAGCCGCGGUAAUACGUAUGUUCCAAGCGUUAUCCGGAUUUAUUGGGCGUAAAGCGAGCGCAGACGGUUAUUUAAGUCUGAAGUGAAAGCCCUCAGCUCAACUGAGGAAUUGCUUUGGAAACUGGAUGACUUGAGUGCAGUAGAGGAAAGUGGAACUCCAUGUGUAGCGGUGAAAUGCGUAGAUAUAUGGAAGAACACCAGUGGCGAAGGCGGCUUUCUGGACUGUAACUGACGUUGAGGCUCGAAAGUGUGGGUAGCAAACAGGAUUAGAUACCCUGGUAGUCCACACCGUAAACGAUGAGUGCUAGGUGUUUGAGGGUUUCCGCCCUUAAGUGCCGCAGCUAACGCAUUAAGCACUCCGCCUGGGGAGUACGACCGCAAGGUUGAAACUCAAAGGAAUUGACGGGGACCCGCACAAGCGGUGGAGCAUGUGGUUUAAUUCGAAGCAACGCGAAGAACCUUACCAGGUCUUGACAUCCCUUGACAACUCCAGAGAUGGAGCGUUCCCUUCGGGGACAAGGUGACAGGUGGUGCAUGGUUGUCGUCAGCUCGUGUCGUGAGAUGUUGGGUUAAGUCCCGCAACGAGCGCAACCCUUAUUACUAGUUGCCAGCAUUCAGUUGGGCACUCUAGUGAGACUGCCGGUGACAAACCGGAGGAAGGUGGGGAUGACGUCAAAUCAUCAUGCCCCUUAUGACCUGGGCUACACACGUGCUACAAUGGCGUAUACAACGAGUUGCCAACCCGCGAGGGUGAGCUAAUCUCUUAAAGUACGUCUCAGUUCGGAUUGUAGGCUGCAACUCGCCUACAUGAAGUCGGAAUCGCUAGUAAUCGCGGAUCAGCACGCCGCGGUGAAUACGUUCCCGGGUCUUGUACACACCGCCCGUCACACCAUGAGAGUUCGUAACACCCAAAGCCGGUGGGGUAACCUUCGGGAGCCAGCCGUCUAAGGUGGGACAGAUGAUUAGGGUG